rnacentral:rRNA from 1 species
GAUGAACGCUGGCGGCGUGCCUAAUACAUGCAAGUCGAGCGAACGGACGAGAAGCUUGCUUCUCUGAUGUUAGCGGCGGACGGGCGAGUAACACGUGGAUAACCUACCUAUAAGACUGGGAUAACUUCGGGAAACCGGAGCUAAUACCGGAUAAUAUUUUGAACCGCAUGGUUCAAAAUUGAAAGACGGUCUUUCUGUCACUUAUAGAUGGAUCCGCGCUGCAUUAGCUAGUUGGUAAGGUAACGGCUUACCAAGGCAACGAUGCAUAGCCGACCUGAGAGGGUGAUCGGCCACACUGGAACUGAGACACGGUCCAGACUCCUACGGGAAGCAGCAGUAGGGAAUCUUCCGCAAUGGGCGAAAGCCUGACGGAGCAACGCCGCGUGAGUGAUGAAGGUCUUCGGAUCGUAAAACUCUGUUAUUAGGGAAGAACAUAUGUGUAAGUAACUGUGCACAUCUUGACGGUACCUAAUCAGAAAGCCACGGCUAACUACGUG